CAUGCAAGUCGAGGGGCAGCGGGGUGUAGCAAUACACCGCCGGCGACCGGCGCACGGGUGAGUAACGCGUAUGCAACUUGCCUAUCAGAGGGGGAUAACCCGGCGAAAGUCGGACUAAUACCGCAUGAAGCAGGGAUCCCGCAUGGGGAUAUUUGCUAAAGAUUCAUCGCUGAUAGAUAGGCAUGCGUUCCAUUAGGCAGUUGGCGGGGUAACGGCCCACCAAACCGACGAUGGAUAGGGGUUCUGAGAGGAAGGUCCCCCACAUUGGUACUGAGACACGGACCAAACUCCUACGGGAGGCAGCAGUGAGGAAUAUUGGUCAAUGGCCGAGAGGCUGAACCAGCCAAGCCGCGUGAGGGAUGAAGGUUCUAUGGAUCGUAAACCUCUUUUAUAAGGGAAUAAAGUGCGGGACGUGUCCCGUUUUGUAUGUACCUUAUGAAUAAGGAUCGGCUAACUCCGUGCCAGCAGCCGCGGUAAUACGGAGGAUCCGAGCGUUAUCCGGAUUUAUUGGGUUUAAAGGGUGCGUAGGCGGCCUUUUAAGUCAGCGGUGAAAGUCUGUGGCUCAACCAUAGAAUUGCCGUUGAAACUGGGGGGCUUGAGUAUGUUUGAGGCAGGCGGAAUGCGUGGUGUAGCGGUGAAAUGCAUAGAUAUCACGCAGAACCCCGAUUGCGAAGGCAGCCUGCCAAGCCCAUUACUGACGCUGAUGC
rnacentral:rRNA from 1 species